rnacentral:rRNA from 1 species
UACGUAGGGGGCUAGCGUUGUCCGGAUUUAUUGGGCGUAAAGAGCGUGUGAGGCGGCCUGGUAGGUCUGCUGUGAAAACUCGAGGCUCAACCUCGAGAUGUCGGCGGAAACCAUCUGGCUAGAGUCCGGAAGAGGAGAGUGGAAUUCCUGGUGUAGCGGUGAAAUGCGCAGAUAUCAGGAAGAACACCUAUGGCGAAGGCAGCUCUCUGGGACGGUACUGACGCUGAGGCGCGAAAGCGUGGGGAGCGAACAGG